rnacentral:tRNA from 1 species
CAAAUUAAAGCUUUAAGAAGUUUUUUAUUUACAUUAAAAAUAUUACCGGAUCAUGGUAUAAUUUGA